GACGAACGCUGGCGGCGUGCUUAACACAUGCAAGUCGAACGAAGAGCGAUGGAAGCUUGCUUCUAUCAAUCUUAGUGGCGAACGGGUGAGUAACGCGUAAUCAACCUGCCCUUCAGAGGGGGACAACAGUUGGAAACGACUGCUAAUACCGCAUACGAUCUAACCUCGGCAUCGAGGAUAGAUGAAAGGUGGCCUCUACAUGUAAGCUAUCACUGAAGGAGGGGAUUGCGUCUGAUUAGCUAGUUGGAGGGGUAACGGCCCACCAAGGCGAUGAUCAGUAGCCGGUCUGAGAGGAUGAACGGCCACAUUGGGACUGAGACACGGCCCAGACUCCUACGGGAGGCAGCAGUGGGGAAUCUUCCGCAAUGGACGAAAGUCUGACGGAGCAACGCCGCGUGAGUGAUGACGGCCUUCGGGUUGUAAAGCUCUGUUAAUCGGGACGAAAGGCCUUCUUGCGAAUAGUUAGAAGG
rnacentral:rRNA from 1 species